AGAUCUAAACCCCAUCGUGACAAUAAUGGCACCAUGCUUCCAAUGAAUGUCAAAACAGAGAUGGUUUCUAUAAACUCCAUUUGUUCUCGCGACAAACAGUCGUUUCUUCAUUUUUAAUUCAGACAAUUUACACUCCCUCUGCAAUCUACAUAAUUACAGUGCAACCAAGACAACUUCACCAACUAAGGUCUGUGUGCCGGUUUCCUGUAUGUUAUCCGGACAGAUUUUCUUUAUUGCAAGUAAAACUCUGAUUGAACUGGAUGUAUUUUCAACCGUAAAAGUAAUUUUGUGGUGCCAGAUGGUGGCAUAUUAUAAAUAGCUGCUUACUUGUUACUGGUUUGUUUAUAAGCUCCAACAACAGAGGCUCUAUGGUAACAAAAUAGGUUUCCCCAUGUGUUAAUUUGUUCUUCACUAUGGCAGAGACCUUUCCCUCCAGUGGCUAUGACGGGGAUUUCCAAUACUUGCUUGGAUAGGACCAUUUAAUAGGCAGCUAUGCCAAGUGAUUUCUGGUGAGUGUUGUUAAUAGGGGGGGGGGGACAUCCGCAACAAAAAAAAACAUAACCAACGAGUGUUAGUUCUGGAUUUGCACUCAAUUUAGCCUCUGUGUUUCUAUCCCUGUAUUUCUCAACAUACAUUUGUCACGAUUUAUAUUCAAUUAAGCUUUAGGGCUCCAGUAAUGUUGACGGAUUUCAUGAGUUCAACGUUUCCAUUCGAGUGUCGACCCCAAUACAUUGCUUCAGUUGACAAUUGGGCAAAUACUUUAGUCGAUACGUGGAGCCACACGUAAACAGCGGUUAUGAAAUCUGUUGGAACGCUAAGUCAAUGCCAAAAUACAUUGUGAUCGACUGAUUUAAUCAACAAGAACUAGAACAGAGAGACCUUUUCAACCCCAAUCUUCUAGUCAGUGUUUACUGAGGGUGUAAGAGUAAAGGGUAUAGAUUGAACUCCUACUUUUUCAAAGAAGUUCACUUGAAACCAUGGCCUCGUAUGGGAACCUACUUUGUGGAGUGUCAAAUAGUUCCUGCUCUGUGGUGAAUAUGGUCGGUCAGAGGUUUUGCACUCCCUGUCAGACAGCAACGCCUGGGCGACCCAACCCAACCCAUCACAGUUCUGGGGUGACAACCCCACUGCAGCCUGAGUAUAGAACAGAUCAACGUGUUAGCAAACAUUGGCCUCCCUGGCCCAGUCCACAUGAUCAGUGAGGCUCUAUUUUUAAUCCAUCCUAUUCUAUGUGAUUACAAUCCUGUCUAUUUUGUCUCAUUGAAGUUGUUGAAUAUUUACCAGUAAGUCUCUAUUGUCAGUGUUAAUCAUUCACUUCAGUUUCCCUCCGAAUUGAGUUAUCCAAUAUUAUCAUGUGCUGGAAAUACUGUCCUACUACUAGGAUCCAUUGGCCAAGCGAUCACAGAGGAAAGAGGAGAUGGAAUAAAACAAGGCAUUUUAGAGGAACUCUCCAUAGUUUGCAAGUGUAUUUAAUGGAUUGUGGUUCGGGGAGUUUCAAAAGCCCAUGGACAUAACAGGAUAUCUUUGUUGAAAUCAACAAAAAAAACUCUUCAAGACAACCCUAGGCAACCAUUACCACGUUCAUCACUUGAACCAGAAGCAAUAAGUCAUCUUUAUGGGAAGAGUGUCUGAAAAGCUCCCAGCAUCAUAGAACCAUGCUACAACCACAGUGUAACAGGGUUAUGGUAGAGCCCUGUAGCCCAGGAAUACCUGGCUAUCUAUGAUCUACUACUGCAUGGGAGAAAGUGGCUUUGGAAAUGUCUGGUUGCCAAAGUUCACGCACUAACAUAAAAUGAUCUGAAACUGUGUAUAUUAAACAUGUUUUAAUCUAGCAUUCCAGUAUGAAGUUAGAGGCCCAGGACAAUAGCCAGCAUUUACAUAGAAAUUGGUUAUUGCACAUAGCUCUGAGCAUGUUCUCCAUGAUAUCAAAGGUUGCAAACGAUUAUGUAAGUACAAUAUGUACAGUUUGUCCUUGUUGUAUAUAUCAUAAACAACUCCACCAUUAAAGGGGAAAUCUGCGAAUUCUAAACCAAUUUUUGACAUGUAAAUUAAUGAUAGUGUAAAUACCCAUUGAUUAUUGAAUAAUGUACAUUCUAACUACCUCUUGAGCUUAGUUCAACUGUCGUACCCCAUCAGAACCCAAAAUAUAAGCUUGUUUUACUAUGUUGGUUGUAAACAAUGUCAUUGGAAACGAUCGUUGUAUAGCCUCAAAACAUGAGUACAACUAUAAUUUUGAUAUGAUGGAUGCUAGGUCCUUGCAGCCAUAGCUCUGUGCCUCUGCCUAUGAAUUUCAGAGUGGAUACAUUUCUCUAGCUCCGUCCCUCGCAUGUUUACCAAAACAGUGGCGGGGUCGACGCUUUGUUAUUGUUUGAAUCGUAGAUUGCCCCUUUAAAGGUCUCUCUCUCUCUCUCUCUCUCUCUCUCUCUCUCUCUCUCUCUCUCUCUCUCUCUUCUGUGUUACAUUUCCUGAAAGCGCUUUGCACCAAUAGCGAACAGCCCCACUGUACCUGCUGCGUGAGUUGCGGCGAACCAGCGCUCUGGAUUGGUUCGAGUAGCAGAAAACGCAGUCAUUACUUUCGCCCAACUAGAGGAGUGUACAGUAUGUUAAUGCAUUAGGAAUGACAGCUUUAAAAAAAAAAAAGGACGGACGGACCGACGGACGGACGGAGUCAAAUUUAUUCGGAUCACGCAAGCCAUUUGUAGCUUCUGUGCAGUUUGAAAGGUUUCCCUAAACUUUUAUAUCAAAAAACAAUUUGGGAUUUUGUCGGUCUGGUCAACCAAGAGGAAUAGUUUCUGUUCAUAUUUGGAGCGUCGACGUAUGAGACGUUCUGUACAUCGGCGGACUCCUUGUGGAUAUUUACAUUAUACAGAGCUGCAUCUAGUCGUGGGUCUUCGAAAACGACCUGCAAAAAUAAGAGGGACACGUAUAGGAUAGUCUUAUUCUAUAGACU
ensembl:lncRNA